rnacentral:rRNA from 1 species
GAUCAUUAACGAAUAACU